rnacentral:lncRNA from 13 species
AUGCAUUUAGGGACUCCUUUAUCAUGGAGAUCAUCUGCUCCGGUCACAAAGCUGCUCUUAAUUGUGCCCAGAAACAGUGACAUUCUCUUCGCUUGGGCCAAGCUGGCCUCUCAGACCAAACCGUCCGAUGCGAAUCUAGAAUCCCCAGAGGAUGGAGGCCAGGCUCUCCUAGGCCCAGGUGUGCCCUCUUCCAAGAAGCGCUCCUGGAUUGGGGCUAGGAACCUUCCUCUGAGGACCUGCAGCCUGCACCAACCAGCCCCAUUAUCUUACCCAUUUGGUCAUGGAGAGAAGGUGUCAACAUCUGUCUGCCUCAUAGAACUCUAAGCUCUCUGAGCACAGGGGCAAGAUAAUCU